UACGUAGGGGGCAAGCGUUGUUCGGAGUUACUGGGCGUAAAGGGCGCGUAGGCGGCCCUCCAAGUCGGGCGUGAAAGCCCACGGCUCAACCGUGGAAUUGCGCUCGAGACUGAAGGGCUCGAGGACGGGAGAGGAUGGUGGAAUUCCCAGUGUAGAGGUGAAAUUCGUAGAUAUUGGGAAGAACACCCGUGGCGAAGGCGGCUCUCUGGGACGGUACUGACGCUGAGGUGCGAAAGCGUGGGGAGCAAACAGG
rnacentral:rRNA from 1 species